UCCUUAGAAAUGAAGGGGAAGUAAAGUUAUUUUCAGAUGACAGGAUACUAAAAGAAUAUGUCACCAGAAGACUUGCCCUUAAGGAAUGACUAAAGCAAGUGCUCAAAAGAGAAAGGAAAUAAUAACAAAAGACUUCAGGACCUCAGGAAGAAAGAAAGAAAAGUGGAUAUGACCAUAAAAUGUAAUCAAUUAUUUAAACAAAAGUAAUAACAAUGUAGCAUGAUGUUAAUACAUAUGUAAGUAAAAUGAAUAACAACAAUAAUAUAAAGGUCAGAAGGGGAGAAAUGGAAGAAUACUAUUGUAAGCUUCUUAUGCUGUAUGCGAACUGGUAUAAUAUCAUUUGAAGGUAGGCUAUAAUAAGUUAAAGAUGUGUUCUGUUAACCCCAAGAAAUAUGAAAAUAACACAAUAACAGAGAGUUAUAGCAAAUAAGACAACAAAAGAGAUAAAGUUGAUCAUAAAAAUAACCAAUUUGAAAAAAGUCAGAGAAAAAGGGAAAAAGAGCAAAAACAUAUGGGAUAACUUGAGAAAAACAGUAAGAUGACAGGAAUUAAACCUGACCACAUCAAUAAUUACAUUAAAUGUAAAUGGCCUAAACAACACCAGUAAAAGGCAAUUUGUCAAAUUAGAUUUUUUAAAAUGCUAAUCCAACUAUGUGCUUUUCACCAACAAAAAAAUGCACUUUAAAUGUAAAGACAUAACUACGUUAAAGAAAAAGGAUGGGAAAAAGAUACAAUGUAAACACUAACAAAGAAUCUAGAGUGGCUAUAUUAAUAUAAAAGUGGAUUUCAAGCAAAGAAUAUUAUCAAGCAUAAAGAAGAACAUUUAAAAAUGUUAAAGGGAUCAAUUUAUCAAGAGACCAUAAUAAUCCUAAAUGUUUAUGCACCUAAUAACAGAGCUCCAAAGUACAUAAAACAGAAAUCGAUAAAACUAUAAGGAGAAAUUAACAAAUACAGAUAUAUAUUAGAUAUUUUAAUACCUCUCUCUCAAUAAUUGAUAGAAUGAGUAAAGAAAAAGAUCACCAAGGAUAUAGGUGACUUGAACAAUGUUACUAAUAAAAUGUACCUACUUGGCAUUUAUAGAACACGUCAUGCAGAAAUAGCAGAAUACACGUUGUUUACAAGGGCACGUGAAACACUUUCAAGAUAUAUUCUAUAUUCUGAGCCAUAAACAAUGUGUAACACAUUUAAAAGGAUUCAAGUCAAAUGAAGUAUGUUUUUGGAGCAGUCUGGAAUUAAAAUAGAAAUCAUUAGCAGAAAUCUAUCUGGAAAAUUCCCAAAGGUUUGGAAACAAAGUAAUGUAUUUGUCAAUAACCAGGGGUAAAAUAAGAAAUCAAAAGGAAAAUUAGAAAAUAUCUUGAAAAAUAAUCAAAUGAGAACACAAUAUAUCAACACUAGUGGAAUGCCACUUCAGUAAUAUGUAGAAGGAAAUAUCCAGCACUGGAUUUCUACUUUAGAGAAAAGAAAACUUCUCAAGCCAAUGACCUCAUCUUCCACUUUAAAAAUUAGAAAAGAAGAGCAAAUUAAGCCAAAGUAAGCAUUAAAAGGGAAAUAAUAAAGAUCAGAAUGAAAAAUCAAUAAAAUAGCAGACAGAAAAACAAUAGAAAAAAAUCAAUAAAACCAAAAGCUAGUUCUUUGAAUAGAUCAAUAAAAUUAAAAAACCUCUAGGUAUAUUGAUUUAAAAAAUUACUUAAGACACAAAUUCAUCAGUAUUAGGAUUUAUAGAGGUGGGAUCACUCAGAUUCUACAGAUAUUAAAAGGAUAAUAAGGAAGUAUUGUAAACUUUAUGCCUAUAAAUUUUAAAACUUAGAUAAAAUGGAUAAAUUCCUGGCAAGGCACAAUCUACCAGAGCCCACUCAAAAAGAAAGAAAGAACACAGACAAUCCUCUAUUUAUGGAAUAAAGUGAAUGUUUAGUUUAAAAUGUAUGCAUGAAGAAAAUUCCAGGUUGACAUGGCUUCACUAGUGAACUCUACGAAACAUUAAGAGAAGAAAGAAUAACAAUCCUUACAAAAGUUUUCUGAAAAUUGAAGAGAUGAGAAUAAUUCCAAAUUAUUUUAUGAGCCUAUUAUUGCUCUGAUUCUAAAGUGAAACAAAGAAAACUAUAGAUGAAUAACUAACUCUCAUGAACAUAAAUGCAACAUUUCUAAAGAAAUUUAGCAAAUCUAAUCCAACAAUAUGUAAAAAGCAUAAAACAUGGUGAACAGGAAGGGUUUAUCCCGGGAAUGCAUUGAUUGAUUUUGAUAUUCAAAACCCAAUCAGCGUAAAUCACUAUUAACUAUAAAAUAAAAGCAAUAUGAUCAUCUAAAUAGAUGCAGAAAAAAAAUCUGAAAAAAACCCAACACCCAUUCCAGAUUAAAAACUAUUAGAAAACUAGGAAUAGAAAAGCAUUUCCUCAACCAAUUGAACAAUUGAAGGGCAGCUAUGAAAAACCUAUAGCUAAUAUCAUAUUUCAUGAUAAAAGAUGGAGUUUUCUUACUCUAAAUUCAAGAACCAGGGAAAAAUGUCUGCUCUCACCACUCUAUUUAACAGUGCUGGAAAUAUUAGCCAGCAAAACAGGUAAAGAAAAAUAAAUAAAUGGCAUAGACAGGAAAAAUUCAUAGUUGGCACAAUUAUGUAUAUACAAAAUCCUCAGGAAUGCACACUUUACAUACUAGAAUUCAAAAGUAAGUUUAGCAACUGUAUUAGUUCAUUUUCAUGCUGCUGAUAAAGACAUACCUGAGACUGGACAAUUUACAAAAGAAAGGUUUAUAGGACCUAUAGUUCCACAUGGCUGGGGAGGCCUCACAAUCAUGGCAGCAGGCAAGGAGGGGCAAGUCACAUCUUAUGUGGAUGGCAACAGGCAAAGAGAGAGCUUGUGCAGGGAAACUCCCGUUUUUAAAACCACCAGAUCUCAUGACACGCAUUCACUGUCAGGAGAACAGCAUGGGAAAGACCCACCCCCAUGAUUCAGUUGUCUCUCACAAGGUCCCUCCCAUACCACAUGGGAAUUAUGGGAGCUACAAGAUGAGAUUUGGUUGGGGACACAGAGCCAAACCACAUCAGCAACAUGUCAGAAUACAGAAAAAAUGUAAAAUAUCACUGUAUUUCUAUGUACUAGUAGUGAACUGUCAGAUGUUAAAAUUCAAUUUCUUAGAAUGGCAUCAAAAAUAUGAAAUACUGGCCAGGUGUGAUGGCUCACGCCUGUAGUCCCAUUGCUUUGGAAGGCUGAGGUGGGUGGAUCACUUUGAGGCCAGGAGUUCAAGACCAUCCUGAGCAACAGGGCAAAACCUCGUCUCUACUAAAAAUACAAAAAAUUAGCCGGGCAUGGUGGCCUGCACCUAUAAUCCCAGCUACUUGGGAGGCUGAGAUGCAAGAACCACUUGAACCCAGGAGGCAGAGGUUGCAGGGAGCCGAGAUCACACCACUGAACACCAGCCUGGGGAACAAACUGAGACUCUGUCUCAAAAAAAAAAAAGAAAGAAAUACUUAUGGGUAAAUCUGACAAAAUAAGUGUAAGACCUGUACACUAAAAAUUACAAAACGUUGCUGAAAUAAAUUAAAGAAGACCUAAAUACUGGGAGAGAUAUACUUUGUUUAAAGGUCAGAAGACUCAGUAUUGCUAAAAUGAGAACUCUUCCCAGUGCAGUGCUAAUCAAAUUUCUAGCAGGCUUUUUGUAGAAAUUGAAAAGCAGAUUUGAAAUUCAUAUGGAAGUGCAAACAAAACCAAAAGAGCCAAUAUAACUUUGAAAAGUUGAAGUUCUAAAACUAUCUGCUUUCAAGAUUUAUUAUAAAGCUACAGGUGAUCAAAAUAUUCUAGUACUAACAGCAAGAUAGGGGAAAAGAUCAAUGAACCAAAUAGAAAGUCCAGAAAUAGAUACACACACUCAAAAAUAUGGACAACUGAUUUUGGACAAUAGUGCAAAAGCAAUUCAAUGAAGGAAAGAUAGCCUUUUCAACAAACGGUACUGGAAAAGUUAGAUUCCUGUAUGCAGAAACAGACAAAAAAUGAACUUGGAUGCAAAUGUGCAUCAUAUAAAAAGAAGUGAUUCAAAUGGAUUGCAGAUCUCAAUGUAAAAUCUAAAACUAUAAACCUUUAGAAGAAAACAUAAAAGAAAAUCUUCAUGACCUUGGGUUAGGCAGAGUUUUUGGGUAUGACACCAAACACACAAUCCAUAAAAAAUAAAUUGAUAAAUUAGACUUUAUCAAAAUUUAAAAUUUUCAUUCUUUGAAAGAUACUCUGAAGAGAUUGAAAAAAUAAGCCACAGACUGGGAGAAAAUGUUUUCCAAGAAUACAUCUGAUAAUGCACUUAUAUCCAGAAUAUAUGAAGAAUUCUUAAAACUCAAUAAUAGGAAAAUAGCCCCAUUAAAAAUAAAAUAGACAAAGGAUUUCAACAGACAUUUCCCCAAAGAAGAUAUAUGGAUGGCAAUAAGCACAUGAAAAGAUAUCAGCAUCAUUAGUGAAGUUCAAAUUAAAACCACCAUGUGAUACCACUACAUAUAUUUUAGAAUUGCUAAAAUUAAGAAGACUGACCAUAUGGGGUGAGGAUAUGGAGGAAAUGAAAUUCUCAUACAAUGCUAUUGGUAAUGCAAAAUCAAACAACCACUUUGGAAAACAGAUUAAAGUUUUCUAAAAAGUUAAACAUGCACCUACCACAUGUCCCAGCCUCUCAGUUCUACCAGAAAAGAAAACAGAUAUCCGUACAGAGACUUGUACACCAAUGUUCAUGGUACCUUUAUUGGUAAAUAGCCCCAAACUGGAGACAACUCAAAAGUUCAUCAACAGAUGAAUGGAUAAACAAAUUGUGGUAUAUCCAUACAAUGGACUAUUACUCUGUAAAAAAGAGAAAAAAGAAAAUAAUAAUAAUGGAUAAUCACAACAUGGAUGAAGCUCAAAAAUAAUUAUAUUAAGUAAAACAAACCAGUCAAAAAAGACUAUAUACUGUUCAUCCCAUUUUAAUAAAACUAUAGAAAAUGAAAAUCUUUGGUGAUAUAAAACAAACUAGUAGUGAGGAAGAGAGGCCUGGGAAGGAAAUUAUAAAUUACAUGAAGCAACUUUUGGGAGUGAUAGAAAUAUUUACUAUAUUGAUUGUUAUGAUGGUUUCAUGGAUAUAUACAUAUGCAAAGACAUAUUCUACACUUGAAAUAUGUAGAAUUUUUGUAGGUUACUUACACAGCAAUAAGCCUGCUCAAAAAAAGUAAAUCAAGCAAUGGAGGGUACCAAGAUUUUACUUGCAUAUGACUGUUCUCUAUCUAGCCUGCAAACAGGUGCACACAAAAUCUGCAUCAUUAACUGGAGCUUGUCAGGCAACACCUCUGCAACAGUAUGCAAAUCACUGUGAGAAAGACAAUAAUUAUGUUAAAAACCACCAAAAUAUGUUUGUUUCCACACAUGUUUUUUUAAAUUCCCAGAUCUGGGCUGUCUACAUUAUGUGCCUGCCAGUUAACCUAACUUGGGGCUUUUCACUUUGGUUUAAAGAAUCUGAAAUUGAGUUCUGCCCAAGCUCUGCAUGUGGUGAUUCAUGUGCAUGGAAAGUACCUUGGGCUGACCACAAAGUAGAGUUCCCUACAACUACAUCAAUGUCAAAACUAACCACUGUCUCCUAGCUUGUUUGUUUAAAAAAACAUCCCAUGGUCUUCAAUUUGAUCAUUUAAAAAUAAUCUACAAGGUAUACUGCUUUUCUGUUCUUGUUAUUUCCUAACUUUUAAGAUUUCUAUUUUUUCACCCUGUAGAUCUUGUUCUCACUAGAGAAUAAUUUCUACAUUAUGCCCAGGUUCUUCUGAGCUAUGAAGGGGCCCAGACUUAAGGGCUGUUCCUGACACCCUAAAUGUGCUGGGACAAGUCAUUAAGGUGGUCCUGCCAGGACACAGCCAUCUAAAGCAGCAAUCUGCUUCCUGCCAGAAAAUCUCGUGCCUCUGCAGAGCCUUUUCCAGAAUGAACCACACAAUGCUGAGGAAAGGAGAAAGAGACCGCCUACUGCAUUUCUGUCACUCGCUGAAAAGGACAUUCUGUCAGAGAAUCUUCUAGCAAACUUCAAAGGGCAAAAUCACCCCUUGUUACAGAUAAAGCACAGAGAGCUUCAGCAGCUAACAUUCCCUGGACAGGGCACAGCAAGGAUUUGAACCUAGGCCAGUCUGGCCAGAACACCCACAAGCUUUCCUUAACUCAGUGUGCUAUCUCCCCACGACUAGGUCACUACUGCUUUAUAAUCACCUUUGUAGCCACCAGUGGAUUUUGCUCAUCAGUAUUUUUCAGGUAAUUGAUACUUUAGAUGUUCAUCUGCAAGACGUAUGCAGUUUUCAUUGACAUCUUUUGGAGAAACUGACAAAUCUGGAUUUGACUUAAUGCUUUUGGAACCUUCCAAGAUGUUAUAUAACUCUAGAUAGAAGGCUGAGCCUCCAUGAUGUCAGGAAUGUUGCAUUCUUAUUUCCCCAUAGAUAAACCCAUUUGUCCACAAAGUCAAGGAGUCAGGCAGAGGCCCUUGCCAUGGGACUUUUUAGGAUAGAGUAACAAGCUUGGACUUUGCUCUAUGACAGGGUUUUGCAUAGGGAGUGGUAUGAUCAGAUCCCUCAAGACAGAAAGCUUAGGGACCAGGCCAGAGUCCACUGCAGUAGCCCAGUCAAGAGAGGAUGGUGACUUGGGCUUUAGUAGAGCCAAUUAGAAUGAAAGAAUUUGACACAUUCAGAAAUGGCUUUAGAGGUGGAGUCAAACUGGACCUGAUAAAGAACUAGAGAAGUGGAGUGAGGAUAAAGAGAAGAGCCAUGACUGACUCGGAAGAUUUUGUCUUGAAAAACUUGAGAACUCAAGACAGAGUGAAAUAAAAUCACAUGUGGGAAAAAUCU